rnacentral:rRNA from 1 species
CCCUUAGAUGUUCUGGGCCGCACGCGCGCUACACUGAUGCAUUCAACGAGUUUCUUCCUGGUCCGAGAGGAAUGGGUAACCUUUUGAAAGUGCAUCGUGAUAGGGAUAGACUAUUGCAAUUAUUGGUCUUCAACGAGGAAUUCCUAGUAGACGUAGUUCAUCAGACUGCGUCGAUUACGUCCCUGCCCUUUGUACACACCGCCCGUCGCUCCUACCGAUUGAAUGCUCAGGUGAGCCAUUCGGACUUUCAUCAUGCUGGUUUCCAGUUUUGAUGAAGGAAAGUCUUGCGAACCUUAUCGUUUAGAGGAAGGAGAAGGCGUAACA